rnacentral:lncRNA from 1 species
UUUAAUGAACACAAACACAAAACAGAAAAACAGACAACACAAAUAACAACAAACCUUUUCAAGAUCUUUCUCUCUAUGUCUCUCAGACAAACUUUAACGAUUUGAGUUCAGUGUGUGGUUUCCCAAACUCUCAAAUCAAUAUAUGCAUCACAAUGGGGCGAAAAAACUAAAAAUCAAGCCAAUACCAACAACAACAAAAAGCAAGAAAAUUAAAAUCAAAUCGACACAUAAACAACUAUAGAUUGUCGUUGUAUAAUCUAUUAAGCUCCACUUUCACUGUAUCUGAACCAUGAAGCAGAGUAAUGAAGUUCCAGAUGCACAGACUCAUAUAUACAAAUUUCCAGUCAUCUUUUUAGACUCUAUGAGAUGAUAUAUAGUACUUACAAACAUAUAUAGUUUCUGAGAAAAAAUGAAAACACCAUAUUAGCAAACCAAUAAGAGACCAUUUCAAAAAGAAAACUAUUGCAAAAUAUGCAUUUCAAGUUUUCCGACUAUUUGAUUCUAUUACCCAAAAU